UUGGAGGGCAAGUCUGGUGCCAGCAGCCGCGGUAAUUCCAGCUCCAAUAGCGUAUAUUAAAGUUGUUGCAGUUAAAAAGCUCGUAGUUGAAUUUCGGGGUUAGUAGGUUGGUCAUGCCUCUGGUAUGUACUGGUCUCACUGAUUCCUCCUUCCUGAUGAGCCGUAAUGCCAUUAAUUUGGUGUUGCGGGGAAUUUGGACUGUUACUUUGAAAAAAUUAGAGUGUUUAAAGCAAGCUAACGCUUGAAUACAUUAGUAUGGAAUAAUGAAAUAGGACGUUCGAUCCUAUUUUGUUGGUUUCUAGGAUUGACGUAAUGAUUAAUAGGGAUAGUUGGGGGCAUUAGUAUUCAAUUGUCAGAGGUGAAAUUCUUGGAUUUAUUGAAGACUAACUACAGCGAAAGCAUUUGCCAAGGAUGUUUUCAUUAAUCAAGAACGAAAGUUAGGGGAUCGAAGACGAUCAGAUACCGUCGUAGUCUUAACCAUAAACUAUGCCGACUAGGGAUCGGAUGAUGUUAAUUUUUUAAUGACUCAUUCGGCGCCUUACGGGAAAC
rnacentral:rRNA from 1 species